rnacentral:rRNA from 1 species
UACAGAGGGUGCAAGCGUUGUUCGGAAUUAUUGGGCGUAAAGCGCGUGUAGGCGGCUUUGUAAGUUGGGUGUGAAAGCCCUCGGCUCAACCGAGGAAGUGCGCCCAAAACUGUGAAGCUUGAGUGCCGGAGAGGAUGGCGGAAUUCCCCAAGUAGAGGUGAAAUUCGUAGAUAUGGGGAGGAACACCGGUGGCGAAGGCGGCCAUCUGGACGGCUAUUGACGCUGAGACGCGAAAGCAUGGGGAGCAAACAGG